AGUGAACGCUGGCGGUAGGCCUAACACAUGCAAGUCGAACGGCAGCACAGUAAGAGUUUGCUCUUACGGGUGGCGAGUGGCGGACGGGUGAGGAAUAUAUCGGAAUCUACUUUUUCGUGGGGGAUAACGUAGGGAAACUUACGAUAAUACCGCAUAUGAUCUACGGGUGAAAGCAGUGGAUAUUCGGACCUUGCGCGAUUGAAUGAGCCGAUGUCGGAUUAGCUAGUUGGCGGGGUAAAGGCCCACCAAGGCGACGAUCCGUAGCUGGUCUGAGAGGAUGAUCGGCCACACUGGAACUGAGACACGGUCCAGACUCCUACGGGAGGGAGCAGUGGGGAAUGUUAGGCAAUGGGCGGAAGCCUGAUCCAGCCAUACCGCGUGGGUGAAGAAGGCCUUCGGGUUGUAAAGCCCUUUUGUUGGGAAAGAAAAGCUGCAGAUUAAUACCCAGCUGUACUGACGGUACCCAAUAAAUAAGCACCGGCUAACUACGUG
rnacentral:rRNA from 1 species